rnacentral:rRNA from 1 species
UACGGAGGGAGCAAGCGUUACUCGGAAUUAUUGGGCGUAAAGGGCGCGUAGGCGAUUUGAAAAGUCUUGUGUGAAAGCCCCGAGCUUAACUCGGGAAGUGCACAAGAAACUGUUGAAUUUGAGUUCCGGAGAGGAAGGCAGAAUUCCGGUGUAGCGGUGAAAUGCGUAGAUAUCGGGAGGAAUACCAGUGGCGAAGGCGGCCUUCUGGACGGAUACUGACGCUGAGGCGCGAAAGCCAGGGGAGCAA